GCAAGGCAAAUCUGCUGGUUAUCGGAGCCGGUGGUUUGGGAUUAUGGUGCAUACAAUUUGCUAAACACAUUCUGCCGCCAGAGGUCAGUGUGUUCUCGGCCGAUAUCACGGAAGAGAAACUGAAGUUGGCUCAAGAUGCCAAUGCCGACGGUACGAUCUUAUGGACGAAAGGCGCCAAUGAGGAGGCGCUUCUUGCACAUACAAGAGAGAUCAGCGGCGUUGGGAAGAUCGGUUUCGACGCUGUUAUAGAUCUCGUUGGUUCAGAAGAUACUUCCA